rnacentral:rRNA from 1 species
UACGGGGGGGGCAAGCGUUGUUCGGAAUUACUGGGCGUAAAGCGCACGUAGGCGGAUCGUUAAGUCGGGGGUGAAAUCCUGGAGCUCAACUCCAGAACUGCCUUCGAUACUGGCGAUCUUGAGUCCGGAAGAGGUGAGUGGAACUCCUAGUGUAGAGGUGGAAUUCGUAGAUAUUAGGAAGAACACCAGUGGCGAAGGCGGCUCACUGGUCCGGUACUGACGCUGAGGCACGAAAGCGUGGGAAGCAAACAGG